UCCCUGGAAGGCUAGUAGUUAGGCCUCGGGGCUCUCACCGCUGCGGCCCAGGUUCAAUUCCUGGCCAGGGAA